CCGGGCGGGGGCGGGGGUCGGGGGCUUGUGUGGGCGUGUGGUGUUUGGAGCUGUUUUCUUGUUUGUUUUUCUUGUUUAAUUUGUUUUUCUUGUUUUGUUUUGUCUUUCUUCAUGUUUGGGGUGUAUGUAAGGGAUGGGGGUGUGGACAAGCGGUGUUUUGAGUUUUCUUGUUUGUUUUUCUUAUUUUAUUUGUUUUCUAGUUUUCUUUUGUUUUUUUCUUCUUGUUUUUGUUUUCUUGUUUGGGGUGUGUGUAAGGGUGGGCGUGUGGACAAGUGGUGUUUUUGCUUUCUUGUUUUCUUGAUUGUUUUCUUGUUAUGGAAGGGGUUAAAAGUGUGGAGAAGUGGUGUUUUGAGGUGUUUUCUUGUUUUCUUUAUUGUUUUCUUGUUAUGGAAGGGGUUGUAAGGGUGGAGAAGUGGUGUUUUGAGGUGUUUUCUUGUUUUCUUGAUUGUUUUCUUGUUAUGGAAGGGGUUGUAAGGGUGUAGAAGUGGUGUUUUGAGGUGUUUUCUUGUUUUCUUGAUUGUUUUCUUGUUAUGGAAGGGGUUGUAAGGGUGUAGAAGUGGUGUUUUGAGGUGUUUUCUUGUUUUCUUUAUUGUUUUCUUGUUAUGGAAGGGGUUGUAAGGGUGGAGAAGUGGUGUUUUGAGGUGUUUUCUUGUUUUCUUGAUUGUUUUCUUGUUUUGGAAAGGGUUAAAAGGGUGGAGAAGUAUUUUUUUGAGGUGUUUUCUUUAUUGGUUUUCUUGUGUGUUUGAGGUAUUUCCUUGUUUUAUUUUUUUCCUGUUUUAUUGGUUGUAUUGUUAUUGUGAGGGAGUUUCUUGUUCCAUUUUUACCGAGACCCAGUGUUUUGAUCUGUGUUAUUUGCCGUUCAUUCUCUGGGCCAUUGUUAGGGGCUGUUUAUGGUCUGUUUGUGUGUUCUUACUUAAUAAUCGUGGUCAUGCAGGGUUCAGGCAGUUUCUUGUCUCACUUUUUUUUUUUACAGUAGAGGAAACAGUUCAAGGAAAAAAUAAAAGAAACAAUAAUAAAAAAAAAAAAGCCUGUUACUCACUGCUCCUAGAAAACAGUCAAGAGGAGUGGCCGAAGGAUAGGUCAGUUUCAGGAGGAGAGGUGUCCUGAUACCCUCCUCGGGAUUGCUUUGCACUGACACACCAGACAAAAUAACUGAGAAGGAAGGUCGUGACUGAAAACUAUUGACCUAUCACCACUAAAAUGAUAACCUAUUGCAGCUUAAUUAGGCAUUCAUAUCUCAGAGGAAUUUGUGACAGAAAUGGUUACCAGAAAGAUAAUUAGCAUUUUUUUAUUUUUACAACUAAGGAGACGGCUCAAGGGCAACAAAAAGAGUGUAGAAAAGAAAGCCCACUACUCACCGCUCCCACAAAAGUAAAAAGAAAAGAGUAGCCAAAAGAGAGGUCAAUUUUGGGUGGAGAGGUGUCUUGAUACACUCUUCUUGAAAGAGGUCAAGUCAUAAGUAGGAGGAAAUGCAGACGAAGGAAGGCUGUUCCAGAGUUUACCAAUGUGAGGGAUGAAAGAGUGAAGAUGCUGGUUAACUCUUGCAUAAGGGGCUUGGACAGUAAAGGGAUGAGGUAGAGUGGACAGUCGAGUGCAGCGGGGCCACAGGAUGAUAGUGUUAACCAGUGGAGUGAGUUGGGUUUUGUUCUGGAGUAGUACCAGAAAUAGAUGUUCAAAAACACUUUAAAAUUAGGUAUAGUUAGACUUUGUUGUGUGACGUGUCAAAAUCAGUCACUAUUAUCCAUUCACUUAACCCGGUAGCAGCGACGGGCCAAAUUUGUGCCAUGAUAUAAACCCCAAAAAAUAGAUGACACAUAAUCUGAUGACAAAUGCUUUGAUAUAUAUUAUGAAAUGGCUUGUGUGAGGGGUGAUUUUUUCUCAUUUUUCUCGCUUGGUGGGACCAUUAAGAAACAUGAUCCCUGCUGCUACCGGGUUAAGCUGGAUCCCCCACGCCAGCGGUUUUAUUCCUAACUUGGCUGGUUAGGACACUGUUGGAUGGUGGGCGUGGUGGCUGACCCCAUCACACAACAAACUCAGGAAGGUUAAAAACAACAACAAAUACUGCUACUAUUCCUUUACUCAACUCAUCUCUUACACAAGAUAGGCAAAUUUUGUGUACAGAAUUUCGUUAAGCAGUAACUGUAUGGUUAUAACACCGUUUUCAAAAUAAUUAUGGUAAAAAAUAAAGUAAUUGCUAUAAGUUAGUUAGUAAUAUUUAUUCUUCCUUGUCUCCACUUAUUUUACACUGUUUAAAAUCCAAAAGUACCUUCAGACUCAGUAGGAUUUUAUGUACAAGAACAAACUUUUCAUUCUAUAACUGGGUCCAUAAUUCCUGCAAAUAUUGAUAAGUAAAAAGUGGCAUCAUUUUACAUUUUUGGAAGUCUGGACAGUGAAGCAGCACCAGUAACAUGGAAAACAGUCAAUGUUGUGCUGAUAUUGCUGAAGUGUCAAAUUACCGUUCAAGUAUGUAGUUUUAAGUCUGUUGCAGGAAAAUGUCUGUGCCCACCUUGAUAGGCUCCCAGCAUGGGUUCAUUAAUUUUAAAAGUCAUGGCAGACAGCACCAGGUGAACAAAUUAAAUUACUUCCAUAUUCAUAGACAUAUCAGUCUCCCAUCACGACUAUUUUCUAAGGCCACAGAGAAUAGUAACCGGGUUUUCAUGGGUAAUGUUCCCCUUCAAGAUGUAGAGGCUGUUUAAAACUAUCGCCAGGCUCACAAAACAUUACUUGUAAAUCCCAGCAACUUCUACGAGAGGCUUUUCAAACAAGCGAACUGAGGUGCCGUUACGUUUAAAAAUACAGGCCUUAGACCAUUUGCCAGAACAGGAUGGAAUACAGUAACAUCGGAGAGAGGUGGAAGAUGUUAGAAAAUACCUGUGUUCUGCAGUGGACUAGUAAUUGAUAGUAUGAUAGUAUGAUUGUAUUAAUGCCUUUCUCAUCCCC